UUUUCAUUAAGUAACUGCUAACCGACAUAGUAUAUACUGUAACCAUCAACAGGUUUAAUUUUAAUGAUUUUGGAGACUUCGAUUUUUGUUCACCUGUGAGAAAGAUGUCUCUUUAAUCUUUAUUUUUUUAUUUAAUUUAAUUUUUUUUAAUGUUUCCCUUGACAAAGGGAAUAUAAAUUAGGAACUGAAAUGAAAACUGGUUUGGUUGGGGUUCUUUUUCGCUUAACUGCUACAUCUCAUGGAUGAUUCCUAAACACGAACCAUCGAAUGGAAAUAAUUUAUAUUCACAUAUGCUUAUCGAAUCCAACGCAUCGAUUUAAUUUGGAAAUCUGUUACACAUUGUGCCGAAAAAAAAAUGGUAUCAAUAACAUGCCAUAAGACGAGAUGAAAUUAGAUGCCAUGCGCAGUUAUAUUUAUCAUGUGACUGUAUAUCUACAAUUUGAACUCCACUAAAAUCAAAGGAAUAUUAAAUAUCAGAGUGGACAUAUUCCCUGACAGAGAUUUUGUCUUCAAAACCACUGUAUUGAAAUUCCAGCAAUGUUCCAAUAGAACUGGUUAACAUCUCGUGAAAUAUUUUGGAUAAAAUUUCUGCUUAGAAUU